UUCUGGCUCAGAACGAACGCUGGCGGCGCGUCUUAAGCAUGCAAGUCGAACGGCAAGAGGUAGCAAUACCUCCUAGAGUGGCGGACUGGUGAGUAACACGUGGGUGACAUACCCUUCAGAUGGGGAUAGCUAUUAGAAAUAGUAGAUAAUACCGAAUACGAGCACAGGGGUUAGAGAUCUGUGAGGAAAGGAGCUAAGGCUCCGCUGAAGGAAUGGCCUGCGGCCCAUUAGCUAGUUGGUGAGGUAAGAGCCCACCAAGGCGAUGAUGGGUAUCCGGCCUUAGAGGGUGAACGGACACAUUGGGACUGAGAUACGGCCCAGACUCCUACGGGAGGCAGCAGCUAAGAAUAUUCCGCAAUGGACGAAAGUCUGACGGAGCGACGCCGCGUGGAUGAAGAAGGCCGGAAGGUUGUAAAAUCCUUUUGAAACUGAAGAAUAAGCGUUGUAGGGAAUGACAGCGUGGUGACAGUAGGUUUUGAAUAAGCAACGGCUAAUUACGUGCCAGCCGCCGC
rnacentral:rRNA from 1 species